AAAAAAGCGUUGAAGAGAAGGAGUAGAGCCAACGUAGUUUUACAGAGAGUUUCCGGGUGGUGAGAGGAGCAAAACGAAAUGGUUUGAAUACAUCUUAGAGCUGAGUCCCAAAAGCGUACAGCGAGUAGGCGAUUUCCCUUCGUUGCAUAGGUUAUAAUGCAAGGUAUUACCAGAUGCAGAAAGUUGCAGCUGCGAUACUUAGUGAGUUUGUCGUUGUGAGACGGCAAUGAAAAUAGGUGGUAACACGUGAGUUAUGCUUUCGUCCUUGAU
rnacentral:ncRNA from 1 species